rnacentral:tRNA from 1 species
CGGGAAUAGCUCAGUUGGUAGAGCACGACCUUGCCAAGGUCGGGGUCGCGAGUUCGAAUCUCGUUUCCCGCUCCA